GGGGGGCGACGGAGCCGGCUCCCCUUCUUCUCUUUUUCCCUGGGCACCGUUUUCUUCAACCAGUCCUUUUACUUUGAGCGCCUCCGCAACUUUUAACAGACCCCCCAGCUGUUCUUGGGCGACGUUCACCUCCCCACGGGUAGAUCGAUGAAGAGCGUUUGAAAGUACGAGGAACACGCUGCAAGGACCAUUUUAUGACAUUUGACGGAUGCCCCGCCAUCCACUGCUAACGUGACAUCGCGCAGGCAGUACUGUUGAGAUGCAGUCCCCAUUACAGAUAAUUUUCCGAAUCCUGGAGAAAAAAAGAAAACCAAGAAAAUAAAAGACGAUACAGUUGCAGCCAUUCGUCAUCGGUACCGGAAGAGGCGACCAGACGUAUGGCAUUAUUAACGCGAUAACGUUCUUUGGUUAUCGGGGAGCGCGAAUGCAACGAUCACUUAAAUGCCACAUUCAGAGACUGAAGCCUGCGUUGGGUUCAGGAUGCGAUAGAGGAAGGCACGGCUCUCGCUCACGCUCUCAUGCGCACUUUUUUCACGCACGCACUCUCGGCUGCACGGCACGCACUGUCUCUGUAAAACACCCGCACGAAUUCUGAAAAGAGGUUGGACGAAAACGGAACCCUCUCUCUAGCCAUUGGGAGAGCCCUAUUCCUAUGCCUUCGCCUAUGCGCCUAUCUCCCUAUGCCGUUUGCCUCUUGAGCCGGACACCACUCUGCAACGCGUAGCUCAGCGGAAUCGACCAAAGUGGAAUGAGGAAGAUAAUCGUCACGAUAUUCCGAAUUCGGACAAGGACACCGCCAGAAAUGGCCACCCGAACGAUUGCGACGCGGUGCGGUUAUAACGAUCGACGGAAAUUUCGACACCGAAGCGAUUCAACGAUUACAUGGCACGGGAGUUAUGUUGCAUUUCCUGGCGGAUAGUCGCGACGCAGCCGGUGCACAGUGUGCAGUCGUGGAUAUCGGCGGCACUCCAAGAUAUGCGGCAAUAUACGGCAGUCCGGCAAUUCUCGACAUCGCGCAUCGAUCUGGUUGGAGAAUGUAUUUUUUUUUCACCACUGUGGAGGAAUACAACGCGACGGCCACUGCCUGAAAAUUGUUUCACGCGAGGCGGAAAAGCUGGAAUAUCCACGACGAUGAUGAAUUUUCGUUCGAGUAUCUGCACGGUGAACGCAUGGUGAACGGUGAUGCGAUAUGGAAGAAUUCGGUGUGUCGAGGUGAGCAGCGAUGGGUUUAUUCGGGAGUACGAAGACGAACCGCCGCUAGGGCUGGCGGACUACAUCGUAGGAAAGCGGAUGGAUCGUGGAUAUGGGAUUGAAUACGAUGGGAUGGGAUAGGACAGGCGAAGCAAGUGAGCGAGCAGCCAGCCUGCAGCCUCGGCGACGUCGGCUGGUUGCAAUAAAAAAUAAGCGACAAACCCUCCCUCCUCUUCUCCUAGGCUCGGCUCGCCUAGUCGCCCUCUUGCCUCAACUCCCUAUAGCGCGGGAGGGAGAAGAGGGAAAGGGAGGUUUAUCUGCAUUAGACUCGUGUUAGAAGGCCGGCAACCGCAAACCGGUCCUGAUCAUGUGGAAUGUCAGCCCUAGCACUGUUGCCACAUGUAUGCGCAUGAUUUUUCUGAAACUGCAUCACCCGGUCCACGUAGAUUUUUACUCCUGCACGUCGUACCGCGUAUACGAAUAGAGCCGAAUAUAUCCAGGCGAUGGCCACACCGCUUAUUCUAUAACCGAUCAUCACCCCAAACCUGCGUACGCCACCGAAAUCUAAACUCGUAUCCGUACGCCGAUCAUCUCACGAGAGAAGCGCACGUACUGUGAGAACUCACGCAAUUUGCCAACCCGCUUCCGCGGACAAUGCAUCGUCUAUACGCAGGCAUUAUACGAUCAUCGUAAUAACUGGUUUCCAUCCGCAACGGUUCCUCGCGGUUGUUCAACCACUUUUGCGAAGAAUAAAUAGACGAUAGAUUUUCUAUUUCGUCGCACAAUAGAACGAACAAACCAGCUAUCUUCGCGAUAUACCUUCGAACUCUCGGGUAGUUGCAGGGAUACGGUGCAAUGACGACGACGACGACGACGACGACGACGAUGACGAUGACGAUUACGAUCACGGGUGUUGCCUCGAUCCGAGGAAAACAUUGCGUGCUACCAUGCCGUUAGGACAUCCAUCGGGUGCCUGUGUACGAAGUUCGUGGAUUACCAGAAAUAUCGUACAUUCAAAAAAGAUGAAUUAUCCAUUCCUUCGGGUGUAUACAUAUAUUGUAGGCUGAAACAGGGUAGAUUACCGAGUUUUUUUUCUAUCUCGUACUUUGCAGUAUAGUCGCGAUAAUCUUCCACUUCCGGCUUGGGACGCGUCGUCUAUCUGCUGCUUUUGUCUUUGAGGAAAUUAGUAUCUUGGAGAAUUUUUCUCCAAGAGCUGUUCUCGAUAACAAAGCACGCGUGCGUAUAUUCGAAAUGUUUUUGUGGUUUUUCUCCCACCGGUAACAUAGCUCGGUUAUCGCACGCGCGCUUGUUCAUUACAUGGCAUAAUAGAAAAUCUAUACGAAGUACUUGUGCGUAAACGCGUGUACGCCUGGUAUAUGCGUUCGUGAAUUCUCCUACUACGAUUACUGGCCAUGCUCGCAUAUCGUCGUAUGAAUUCUUUUCUUUUCGAAUACUAGAGAAUUUGUGCGUACGACGCGAUAGGUUCGUACCAACGAAUAUGUACGCGUAUAAAGAAAAGGCAAUAGCUGCAUGCGGUAACAGGUGCUGCAGCAGCAACGGCAGCAGCACAGGAAACACGCCGGCAUUGUUGGUCUCAAGGCCACGCCGCUAUAAAACCCUUCUAUCGCACAAGAGCAUAAAAAAAAGAGGGACGACGACCUUGGCAACUAGGGUUGUCCAUUGCCUGCAUAGCCCACCGACACAACAUUACGGUCUAGCUAGGAUGGUCGACCGCCAUAAUAGACCAAAUGCGCUUGCCCUGGUCUUCUCCUCCUCCCUCUUUUCUUCUACCUUACCACUCCCCCCUUGCCGCUCUCCCCCCCCCCCCCGCCGCCCCUUGCUUCUUCUCGUUCCGUUCCUCUUCCUCCUCGUCUAGCCAGUCUAAGGCUCGCGCUCCGUGCCGGUCCUAGAUCAAGUUGGCGGCGCAGCUAUACUAUGCUAGCUGGGUCGUGCAUACUAUCUAGGUACACACACGGAGGUAUACACGCGUAUACGUAUAUUCACAUGGCUAUGCGCGAUGCACACACAUCCAGGGCUUUCGGGCAGCGAAUAAAGACGACAGGGUCGAGCGAACGAUUUCGUCUAGAGUAUUUAAAUGUGUUUGUACUUUUUAUCGUAUGUAUGUGCAUAUGCAUAUGGGUAGAAAAUUGUGUACAACACAUGCACCCGUAGGCGUCAACUUGGCGUGCCCGAUUUCGAGUUGACCCCAAAAAACACCGUCGACGACGACGUCGUAUUAUCGCGUUACGAUUUUAGACUUUGGCAAAAUUUACACAACUAACUGCCGCCUGUUUAUUAAACUAUGUACUUCACCGUAUCUAUUUCUAGCUGUACACGUGUACGAGUAUGGUAUACCUAUAUUCCUAUCAUGCGAGCUUCUUUACCACUAAUUGCCAUCUUCUGCAUGUAUGGCCAAUAGUGUAGUAUCAUGCGCACAGAUAUAACUUGACGGUGCAUUGCGAAGUGCGCGGUGCAAUACCACACGUAAAAAUGACAUUAAUAACGAUAAUUCGGUGCUCUUUCGUAACGUGAGUUGCGCUAUCAAUUCUCAGUUAGUUGGAUUUCACGUAUGUACGAUUUUUAUUCGCUUUUCAUAGGCACGAGGUCGACGCCAUUUUACAUUCACUGGUACAAGAGACUUCAACAGGCGUUUUUGAUACCAGACAUAUACGUGUAUACAUAUGUAUGUACGCGCAAGGCGUUCCGAAGAGCGAGGAGGGCAUGUAGGACCUUAUCGCGCGAAUUUUAGGUCAGAACGUAUAACGUAUAAUGUAAUCGAUACAUUGCACGAUUGCGCAAAGCCCUUCGAUCAAUGCCAGACUAUCUCAUAAUUAUUUUAACAUCGUCAUGUCGAGGCACCGUGCCGUUGUACAGGGCGUUGGGCGUUGAUCGAAAUUCGGAAAAGAGAUUCUCAGGUUUUGAGCAAAUUCUUUACACCGAUCGUUGUCCAGAUCGAGAAUGCGAUCGAUUCGCGAAAUCAACUGAUCGGUUCUUUUUUUCCAUUGAAAUGGAUAUUUCCGUGCAAUUGACGGAACACGGUAUAGAUCCGUUGCAAUUAUUUCGCCCGUAGAAAUACACCGGACGCACCGAUGAAAUUCGUCGAUAAAAUUGAACGAAACAUUCGUCGACGAAGGGAAAUAAUUUAUUCUCGAGAUGGGUAGACGGCAUAUGCUCCAAAAAAUCGCGACGGCCCUGCGAGAUAUCAGAUACACUGAAAAAAUGCAGAAGGCCCCCUCAUAUACCGCAUAGGCUGUCGUGUAUGCAGGUCGCACGUUACGGGCUCCGAUGUUCUGUACGUAAACUCAUACGAACUCCCCGCAAACCUACACCAACUCGAAAAAGUACAGCCAUCCGAGCUAUAGGCGUGCAUAUGUGGAGAACGCGAGACUAUCUCCGUCUUGUUCUUUUUUCAUUUCCUCCCUUCCUCGUCCUCUUUAGGUCCCUAUCCUUGCGUUGCAGUCUCUCGCGGUUCCUCGUGCUCUCUCCCGCGCGCACCAGACAGCAACAAAUGCAGAAGAAGCAACAGCAACGGCAACGGCAACUGCAGUGCAGGGCUCGUUCAACUUUAUCCACCGCCCUUAGUAUAGGGCAUCGCGCAGGACCCGCUUUUCCCACACUAUAGCCGAAUGACUGCCCGCUCGUAUAUUACGGUGCUGCACUGCCAGGGCCUUAUAUUGCAGCGAAACCCUUCGCAUGACGCGUCUAUGGUUCUCUACCUGUAUAACGGGUUAUUUUAUAGGUUUUUUCCUAUCUUUCUUCAAUUCUUUUUUCAGGUUUUUUUCGACAGGAUUAAUAAAAAGGUUUAGACGUCGGUAUAUGCGGGACACGGUAGAAAAUGUAUUUGCCUUUUUAUUUGCGAGUUUGCCACCGCCGUCCGGGACUUCAAUAAUUCGCAGUUUCGCACCCUUUGGAUUUUUACUACCGUUUACUGCAGUACGCAUCAUUAUAGCUAGGAUUUACAUUCCUCGAACAGACCCGUUUCAAUUAUACCGGUACGUUGUAUACGCAUAUACGAGUCCGCCCGAAGAUUAUUCUUUCUGUAGAUUAUUGCUUUACUACCACCUAAAGAGUACAACUACCGCCAUGCUGCUGCAGCUUGCUAAAAACAUACCACAUACUCGUACGAACAAUAGCGGAAAUCGUAGCUAAUCCAAACGUAGUUUAUCUACUAUGCGGGCUCUGAAAUUUACAGAGGAGCGAAAAGAUAAAGCUGUGUACAUGCGGAAAAAUACUUCGUCACGAGGCGAAUUGAACAAUUUUUUGCUCCGGAAUACUGGAAUAUCGACCGGAUAUCGUGUAGAGAUCACGCUGUGAAUAAAAAAAGUUGUAACGGUGUAGGAUGCACAUUUUGAUGCGAUGUGCAGUUGAUCCAAAAAGGUAGAAUAAUUAUGCGCACAUCCUCCUGAAUCGGCCGGUUUUUCUACCGAAAAAUGAAUAGGGGAUACCAUAACACGAAAUUUUUCAACAGGGAGUGGUAAUAAGGAAUGAGAAACGAAUAAAAAGACGCGUUCUAUCUCAUUACGAAAUGGGCUAUUAUACGGCCACGUAUACCUAUGUAUAGAGCGGUGAAGUCGGUGGUGUUCACCCUGCGAUUCUUAGUGCAGGACACACGGUUCUGCGGAAAUUACAGUGCGAGCUUUGUUUAUUCUCCAAUACACUUAAUUUUACCAAACUUUAAGAGACACUAUAAAUCUUGUGUCAACUAUUUCAAAUCCAAUUUAUAUCCGCUAGAUUCAUUAAUUUCUCCAUAUUUCAUACUUAUACAUGAGUAUAUGCACAGCUAUAAUAGGGGAAGGCGGGGCAAAGUGGGGUACCCCGAAAAUUUUGUCAAAUAAGUUUUAUUAUUAAUAUCCAAUUAAAUAUUUAUUAAUUAUUUCUUUUCUCAUGGUAACUGAAAAUCUUUCUUAUUUACUUCGAAUUAUACAAAUAAGAGAAAGAAUUUUCAUCGUAGUAAAGUUUCACAACGCUGGGGUCUGCCUCGAGUACCCAGUUUUGCCCCGCCUUCCCCUGUAUGUAAUCGUGUUUCAAGACCCCCUUUACAAAAAUAUUAAAUCGCACAUUUUUCGACGAAUACUAAUUUUUAUGCAUGAAUGUGACGUAAUUGUGUUUCACAACUAUCGUCGCCCGUUUAUUUUCAUUGACGCAAUCCGCGUUCCUAAUUGAAAAGUAGCGUUGACCGCAAAAUAUGUGAUUAUAUGCGUCUACCUAUGCGGCAAUCUGUAACAUCGGUAAGAGCCAGGUUUUAUUUGUUUCCAGAGAGAUUUUUUCCGUAACAUUAAUUUCCGUAACAUACUAUAAUUUCCCUUUUCUGACUAGUGACCGUAUGCAGUACUGGAUGGACGAAAAAUCAAUUAUCUUACCUUCUCCCAUAUAGCAGCUGUGUGUUAACAUGUGCAGAUGCGCCGUUGAGUUACAACCCACCUCGCAUUAAAAAUCUUUCGCAUUUAUUUGACAUCGCAUGAAUGGUAACGCACGCGUGCGUUUCAUUUUGUCAUGAGAUCGAGUGGUAAACUUUCAUGAUUAUACGAUUUUGUAUAAAGAUGUUAUUAUCCUGUCUACACUUACAAAUCUUUAUUUCAAUGUUGUAAUAUAUUCUUGUAUUGUAUUUUUAUGUUGAAAACGAGGGCAGUGCCUGGUGUUAACCACGGUUAACUGAAUUUAAUAUAUAAGUUUAAAUAAGUAUUAAUGAUAUAAGUAAGUCGAGAAGGGUCUGAAUUUUAUAAUAAAGAUCUAUCCACA